GUUUUAUUUAAAAGUCUAUAAUUUGACUUAUGAUUUUAAAAUAUAUUAAGACAAUGUUUAAAAAUAUUAAGACAAUAUUAGGGUGCAUGGGUUCCACUUGGAUUCCUGUUCCAGGCUUGCAAAUAUUAGGAGCUCACCUUCCCCACACUUCUCUCUCCAUCAAUUGCCAUUGUAGUCAUCUUUUAAGCCACAGGUCAAAUCUUACUUCUACCGUAAAGCCCUCCCUGACCACCUCAGUGGUAACUUAUUUCUCUCUGUGCUUCCUUCAUUCACAGAUAAUCUACUAGUGCCAAGCACUGUGUUGGGAACUAAAAAUACAGAUAUGAAUGAACAUACCCUACUGACCAAUGAGCUGUCACCCUAGGAACAAGAGCCACAGAAUGAAGCCCCCACAGCCUAUCAGUACCGCCAGUUAGACACAUCCAAACUCUACCCCCAACAUGUCCUCUGAUAAAACCCCAUUCAAGACACCAUGAUGUCCACCCAAGAAUGCGCCUCUAUUGUGGCACUUAGGGCUCAUUCCCCACCAGCUGCCUUAAGAACCCUCUGCUCUGCUUAAAACCCUCUGAUGGCUCUCAACGACCACUAAGAUAAAACUCAGCCUCCAUUGACCUCGCCCCCAUUGACCACUCCAGCCCAUCUCCUGGUUCUCUCCCUGUCAUCCUCUCUACUUCAGGGACUUUGGGAGCCUACCCUGGCUUCUGUCCACUCUCAUACCUUUCAUUCCCGUCUCGCAUGCCCUUAACCUUUCAUUCCCAUUGCCAAGAAAUGUCUUACCCUAGGUUUCCAUGUGGCCUCUUCUCUCUCCUUACUCAUUUCUCAGUUCUAGAAAGAAAGUUUCUUAAUUAAAGCACCUCCAAGUCCCUACUAUGUCAUUACCCUAUUUUAUUCUCUCCAUGUGUUUACAUUUUGCUGUCUGUUUUCCCCUCUUGAGUUGGAUCCCACCAGAACAAAG
rnacentral:lncRNA from 1 species